UUAAUCAGACCCAUCUCCAAAUCCCUUUACCGAUUCACCCUCACCCUCAACCGAUUUAAUCAGACCCAUCUCCAAAUCCCUUUACCGAUUGACCCUCACCCUCACUCAUCUCAUAAACCCAACACUCUAGAUAGUACCCAUUUAACUCUUCACUCUAUCACUCUCUCUUCAAACCGACACUCAAGGUUCAACUAAGCUCCGUCGGUGUGGGGGAUUCAGCUCCAUCGGUGUUGGUGCUAACUGUAAGAGAUUCAACUUCAUCAACGAGGGGUUUUCGCUCUCUGGCACGGGAUUAGCAUCAU